AGACAUCUCAUCUCAUUCAUCAACGUUUCUGAGUUCAGGGGCCCUGCCCUAACUCAAAGAUGUAUCAUAUCUGAUCUGUUAAGCAUAAGAAGCCGUCUUCUUUCAUUUAGCAGCCUCUUGAUCAAACGCUUCACUCUCAAGUAUCAGAUCCAGCAAACAUUUGGCUGCGACAGGGAACAAGUAGCCUGUGGGGGUUGAUGUCAAAUCAGGCAGAGACUAUCGUUCCAAAAUGCUGCCACAGCCUUAUUGCCCCGUGGGAGCCUGAGAUCAAACAACCUAUUAUGGGAAGUCAUUAAGCAGGAAGCGAGGUAAGCACACAUUUUGUAUCUUAAUCAAACUUUACUCAUGAUUUAAGUCAACAGAAUAGAGCACUCAGUGAAACUUCAGAAGGGGACAAAAAUGUGACAUGGUUUCAGAGAUUAUAACAUUAACAUUCAUUUGUUAUGGAAUAACGUUCGACAUCAUUCAAUCCCUUAGUGUUUGAUUAAAUAGUACUACAGAUCUUUCACAGUGCAGUGUUAACAGUAAUAAAUAACGUUUGAUAUCAUUCAAUCUCUUAGUGUUUGAUUAAAUAGUACUACAGAUCUUUCACAGUGCAGUGUUAACAGUAAUAAAUAACGUUUGAUAUCAUUCAAUCCCUUUGUGUUUGAUGGAAAAGCAGUACAGAUCUUUAGUAAUAAAUCACUAAUAACACAUUGUCAGUAUGUCCUACAACUAUCCAACUUUCAUAUAGCAGCUCAUUCCCUUCCCUUGUUAUCUGACAGUGAAACAAACUCUCAAAGACAAUCUGAGGGGGAGUGAGCUGCAAAAUAAACACUUUAAAUGUAUUAUUAGGGGAAAUAUACAUCAGCUUGUUGAGAGUUGUGCGCUGGGGGGGGGGUUCUAAUCAUCAAACACACGAGUCAUCAGUGAGUUUCUCAGCAGGUGAGCAGUGAGUUCUCUAGGUGUCUGUCCAGUCCUGUCUGACUGUCUCUCUGUGGAGGACUGGGCGCUGGAGAUCAGACACUACAUCCACACCAGUCUGUGUGUGUGUGCGUGUGCGUGUGAAUGUGUGUGCGUGUGUGUGCGUGUUUGUGUGUGUUCGUGUGUGUGUGUGUGUGUUUGUGUGUGUGUGCAUCUCCCACCCUCCUUGGAGUGACAAUACAUCUAUACAGACCAGGCUCCCUCAUCAUCAGGAAGUUUUCUCUUACCCCUUGGGCAGAUGAGCAGACUGUGCAAUAAGAUACAUCCUACACACUAGAAAACAAAACAAGUGAAGUGGGUUGAGUCAGCGGAUUGAGAGACACAAGGAGCCAGCCUGACUGAGGGCUUCUCCUGAUGACCACAACACCUGUCAGCCCUGGUUCCAGUUCUACCUCCUGUUUUAGCUCCUGUGGCUCUUGUGUUCAUAAAUCCAAAAAGAGUCAAGGACUCGGUAGGUGAAAGCAGUAUAGUGACGGCCCCAAACCAUUAAAUAAAGGUAAAAAAAAAUCAUAAUAAUCUCUGUAACAUGCUAAGUGGUGCAUCUACCAGCACUAGUCAGAAAAUGCACAUCUUUAAUUACUGAAGGAGUAGGCGUCAUCAAAGGAGCUAGGAUAAAAUGGAACUGGGCCUCCUCAACUGGGCCUCCUCAACUGGGCCUCCUCAAUAUGUGAUCUUCAAAGUGUGAGUAGCGUGUUGGUGCAGGAGCGGCAGCUCCCACACGAGGGCGAUGUUGCGUGAGAACAGAUUGAAUAGAGAUGGAAUUUCAAAGGCUGUGUUUGUAGUGCCGCUCAGGCUCACCUGCAGAAUUGGACUAGAUUUACAGGUAGGUACACAUGCAUUCAUGCUUAUGCCCUGACAUGCAUGGAGUUAUAUUUUUUUCUGCAUUGGCCAAUAGUGUAAAUCACAGACCAAAGGUGUAAUAUGUAUUCCCAUUGACAAGCUUAUCCCCCUUACCCAGGAGACCCUGUAACCAAUAAGGGUGAUUUUUGUGUGACAAUAAUUUACAGCGUCACAUGGAACGUACAGUAUAGGACAAAUGCCUUAUACAUGUAUUACACCAGUAUCCCACACACUGAGAAUAGCGUGUCAAUUUCCCAUCAGCCUUGACAAAAACAGUCAUCUUAAAAGGCUCUUUUAAGCCACCUUAUUUACCUGCUUGUCCUCUGAUAGGGAGCCCUUGAAAGGCAGAGCCGCUCCAGAUAAGACACCGCGACAUAACAAUAUAUUCCUGGAGGAGCACUACACUUCAGAGACACCAGAGAGCAGGGGGAACAGAUUACCUCAAUGCUGGCUGCAGGAAUGCCCAUUUAAAGGAAGGUGUUUUGUCCUGUUCUGUUUAAGGAUUUACCUGGGGAGCUUUGAACAGCAUGUACCUCAGUUUAUUUUGCCAACUUUGUCCCAGCAAUGCUCAUUCUGCUUCAUUUGAGUAGAUUGGGUUGGACUGAAUUAGACUUUAGAAAAUGAGAAAAUCAUGAAUGAUUCAACAACAAACAUGACCCUGGGUCCAGUGAGAAUGAAUUAAGGAUCAAUAACACAGAAGGUGAUCAGAUAAGAAGAGAACUAUAGUUCUAAUCAUCUAAUCUACUGCUCCAAGGUUCAAUGGGUUUUAAAAGAUAUCAGACAUGUAGGUGUUGAAAGCAGUUCAACCGGUUAGUAUAGUAAAUUCAGUCACACAUUAAAUUACUUUUUGUGAGACUCCAAAGUUAGAAUGAAGACCCCAUUGGGAUUGUGUGGGUGCCAUAACAGUUACCUAGCAAACAUAAUCCAGCAAAGUGCUGCCAUCAUCUGGGUAAAAUAGAGAAUUACAAGGUAGCAAUGUGGCAUAGUCUUUUCUCACGCUCUGCAGCCAUCAGGAAGGAUUUCUGAAGCAUGCAUCUAUAUAGGUCUUAUAGAAGGUUUAUGAUGACUUCGUAAACAUUUUUGUUUAUUGAAAGUGUGACCCAAAAUUCUAUAGAAAGGAGGAAGUAUGACAACAACAGUAUUGAUUGCCAUAUUAUCAGACGUGUGCUAAAUCUGUUCUGGACCCUCCAGUAGAGGGUGAUAUGACCCUUCCUCUGGGACCCUGUGACACCACAUGCCACUACAGUUGGUUGAGAGUGAAUGAGAGCCACAGAGGCUGUCUGCACAAUGUUGCUGCCUGCCAGGCUGGUUUUGUCCUGAUGCUGCUGGACAGCUGCCUUUCUGAUUUUCCUUUUCCUAGAAGAGGCCUGGAUCAGAACUCAGCAGGACAAAGCAGGCAGGGCACAGCUGCCGAAAGGACAGCUGGCCUAUAGCACUCUGCAGCAGGCUCCGCUCUGCAAACAAACAGCACUUCACAUCAAAUGCUGCCAGCUUUACCGCUUGUAAACCUGUGUGCCAACGACCAUGACCCUCUUCUUCAUAAUGCUGUGUCAGUGGAAAAUGCAAGAGCACAAAGCGGACAACUCUGAGAAGCACUAUCUGUAAGAGCAUUUUGUGUUGGUAAGAGAGAUCAUUUAGAAAAGGAGAGAGAGAAAGCAGCAUUCUCUAGAAAGCAGUAUUCUAGACAGGCGACAGCUGGUAUCGAAAGUAAGAGGAAAACCCUGCAGUCGUUAUACUGUAACUAACUUACACAUCACAGCGUACAUCACUUCACAGGCUACUCUUUAUGGUUGCAGUGUUACCUCUCUGGAGGACAGAAACUAAAAGCACAUUUACAAUCUUACAAGCUAAUGAAGAGGAUAAAGCUACUUCUCUCUCUACUGUUUAAUAAAUGACAUUAUGCAGUAAGAGGCUGGUUACUACAGCAGCUGUUCUGUUGUGUGACGUAACAAUGGUCGUGCAGUUUGACCUGAGGCACAUGGCGGUUGGCUGACUGGCAAAGUAGUGCACUACAGAUGUAGGAUCUUAAUUUGAGCCAGUUUGCUACAGCAGGACAAUAAUCCUGCAUCAACAGGAAUUGUCAAUUAUUACAUGGAUUUUAAUGAAUUACAUUUUCUGUAAGGGUAAAUCAAGUCUGAAGUUUCAAAGUGGAAAUGACACAUUUCAGAAGCCUUUUAAUACCUCAAAUAUACUACAGGAAAGUUCUCCUGCAGCAGGUUGCUCAAAUGAAGAUCCUACAUCAUUCAGUAGGGAAUAGGGUGUCAUUUGGGAUACGGUCUGGCGGUAGGAGGUAGGAGGUAGGGCUACAGCAUUGCUCUUCUCCUUCCACUGCCCUGGCCCAUUCUUCACUGUUUGUCCAGCUCAUGUUCACUGGCCUGUGAGAAAGGAUUAGGGUUUCAGGCUUUCCAUUCCUCUAUACGGAACCCUCCUUCAAAAGCAUUCCAUGCAUAACAAAAUAGUAUGUACUAUGUCCCUCUCCUUCCUCUCUAUUGCCCCCUCCAUCUCCACCCCCCGCCCCUACACACCAACACAUGCGCAUGCAAACAAGCCUGAUGUCUUUUUAACAAAUGUUCCCCACUAGGUAGGGAUCAAAGUGAGAAAGACUUGUACAGCAGAAUCAUAUCCAUGCAAUGUAUUUACUUGACUUUGCUCACAGAGACCAGAGGCGUACAGUGUUUUCUCAUGUUAUGACAAAAAACACAAUAUUGGCUCAGUAUGGGACACUAACAUACUAUAAAGACAAAAGAUGCAGCGGUCUCCUGGGUCAUUUUUUAUUUUCCAUUUAUUGUGCAGUAAAAACACAUGAUUGAUAAUGUCAUGUCUCUGGUCGUUUCGAGCUGAUGACACAAGAUGGCACAAUGUUUAUUAUUUUUAUCAAAAUGGUGUUAAAUCACGAUCAGAAAACAACCUAUGGCUUAAUAGGUAAAGAUACCAUUUACAAAAGUCCAUCAUAUCUGCUUUCAAUUUGU